rnacentral:rRNA from 1 species
UACGUAGGGGGCGAGCGUUGUCCGGAUUUAUUGGGCGUAAAGAGCGUGUAGGCGGCCAGGUAGGUCCGUUGUGAAAACUCGAGGCUCAACCUCGAGACGUCGAUGGAAACCAUCUGGCUAGAGUCCGGAAGAGGAGAGUGGAAUUCCUGGUGUAGCGGUGAAAUGCGCAGAUAUCAGGAAGAACACCUAUGGCGAAGGCAGCUCUCUGGGACGGUACUGACGCUGAGGAGCGAAAGCGUGGGGAGCGAACAGG